rnacentral:rRNA from 1 species
CACGUGGGUAACCUGCCUGUAAGACUGGGAUAACUUCCGGGAAACCGGGGCUAAUACCGGAUGCUUGAUUUGAACCGCAUGGUUCAAUUUAUAAAAGGUGGCUUUUAGCUACCACUUACAGAUGGACCCGCGGCGCAUUAGCUAGUUGGUGAGGUAACGGCUCACCAAGGCGACGAUGCGUAGCCGACCUGAGAGGGUGAUCGGCCACACUGGGACUGAGACACGGCCCAGACUCCUACGGGAGGCAGCAGUAGGGAAUCUUCCGCAAUGGACGAAAGUCUGACGGAGCAACGCCGCGUGAGUGAUGAAGGUUUUCGGAUCGUAAAACUCUGUUGUUAGGGAAGAACAAGUACCGUUCGAAUAGGGCGGUACCUUGACGGUACCUAACCAGAAAGCCACGGCUAACUACGUGCCAGCAGCCGCGGUAAUACGUAGGUGGCAAGCGUUGUCCGGAAUUAUUGGGCGUAAAGCGCGCGCAGGCGGUUUCUUAAGUCUGAUGUGAAAGCCCCCGGCUCAACCGGGGAGGGUCAUUGGAAACUGGGGAACUUGAGUGCAGAAGAGGAGAGUGGAAUUCCACGUGUAGCGGUGAAAUGCGUAGAGAUGUGGAGGAACACCAUUGGCGAAGGCGACUCUCUGGUCUGUAACUGACGCUGAGGCGCGAAAGCGUGGGGAGCGAACAGGAUUAGAUACCCUGGUAGUCCACGCCGUAAACGAUGAGUGCUAAAUGUUAGAAGGGUUUCCGCCCCUUUAUUGCUGCAGCAAACGCAUUAAGCACUCCGCCUGGGGGAGUACGGUCGCCAGGACUGAAACUCACAGGAAUUGACAGGGGGCCCGCACCAACCGGUGGAAGCAUGUUGUUUUAAUUCCAAAGCAACGCCCAGAAACUUUACCAAGGUCUUGGACAUCCUCCUGACAACCCCUAGAAGAUAAGGGCUUCCCCCUUCCGGGGGCGGAGUGAAC